UACGUAGGGCGCGAGCGUUUGUCCGGAAUUAUUGGGCGUAAAGGGCUCGUAGGCGGUUCGUCACGUCGGGAGUGAAAACUCGGGGCUUAACCCCGAGCCUGCUUCCGAUACGGGCAGACUAGAGGUAGGCAGGGGAGAGCGGAACUCCUGGUGUAGCGGUGGAAUGCGCAGAUAUCAGGAAGAACACCGGUGGCGAAGGCGGCUCUCUGGGCCUUACCUGACGCUGAGGAGCGAAAGCGUGGGUAGCGAACAGG
rnacentral:rRNA from 1 species